GCAGGCUCGCGAGCGCGAGCGAAAAUGGCGCCUGCUAGCGUCCGCGUGGAGAGUGUUCGGUCCAGCCGCCGCCCGGAAGUGGAAGUAUGUGUUGAAUUACAGGCCUGCCCCCUCGGACCAUGGAUUUCAUAGAAGCAGGUGAAUGUAGCACUGCUGCAUGAAAAUUUGGUCCUAGAAGUACAACCGGAAUUUAGCAAAUGCCACUGGAAGCAGUUACAUCAAUCCAAGUAGGAGAAAGGAGAGUAGCAGAUGCAGAAAAUGAUGGUGUAAGAUGGAGAGCUCUCUUGCAGGCUAAGCAAGAACCUUGAAGAGCAGUGCAAUGUCAAGGCACGUCUGAAUCUUCCCAAGAUUUGCAUUUUUAUAAAGGUGUGUCAGGUCAGUCUGGUUUCAAGCAUAAUAGUAAGAAUAAGACUAACUCUUUGUCCUA